CCUAUUUUAUGAUCAUGUAAACAUAUCUUCAAAGACCGUCAUCUUGUUCUUAUAAUAUUUUCCCUUCUCUUCUUUAUGUAUUAUUUUGAUCUCCUAUCUCUCUCUCUCUCUCUCUCUCUCUCUCUCUCUGUGUCUGUGUGUGUUUGUUUUUUUUUAAAAAAAUAAUUGCAGAACAUGAUAAUGCGGCAUGUGAAUCACUCUGCUAGUGAUCUGAUUGAUCUCUUGCAAGGGCUUCUGUGAUAUGACCGAGCAGAGCAGCUCAAAGCAAAGGAAGCUCUUAGACAUCCCUACCUGAGAAGGUGACUGGUUGGGUGGUUGAAUACCAAGAUAAUCUGGUAAGCCGUGGUGUUGAUGAGUCCUUAGCUCAAGUUUGUUCCAAGAGUGGUGCAAUGGAUCCCCUUAUGAAUGCAUAUGUUGAAAGAAUGCAAGCUACAACAAGGAAAUGGUACUUGAAUAUCCUUGAGGCUGAAAAGGUACAACCACCAAAGAAAACAGAUGAUGGGAGGCUAUAUACACCUGCUGCUGUUGAUUUGUUUAGAAUCCUUGGCAAGCAAGUGCAAAUUGCUCAUGAAAAUAACAUCGAUAUCAUGUUGUA